rnacentral:rRNA from 1 species
GACGAACGCUGGCGGCGUGCUUAACACAUGCAAGUCGAACGGUGAUCUUGGGGCUUGCUUCAAGGUUGCAGUGGCGAACGGGUGAGUAACACGUGAGUAACCUGCCCCUGACUCUGGAAUAAGCGCUGGAAACGGCGUCUAAUACCGGAUAUGACAUCAACCUGCAUGGGUAUGGUGUGGAAAGUUUUUCGGUUGGGGAUGGACUCGCGGCCUAUCAGCUUGUUGGUGAGGUAAUGGCUCACCAAGGCGAUGACGGGUAGCCGGCCUGAGAGGGCGAUCGGCCACACUGGGACUGAGACACGGCCCAGACUCCUACGGGAGGCAGCAGUGGGGAAUAUUGCACAAUGGGCGCAAGCCUGAUGCAGCGACGCCGCGUGAGGGAUGACGGCCUUCGGGUUGUAAACCUCUUUCAGCAGGGAAGAAGCGAAAGUGACGGUACCUGCAGAAGAAGCACCGGCUAACUACGUGCCAGCAGCCGCGGUAAUACGUAGGGUGCGAGCGUUGUCCGGAAUUAUUGGGCGUAAAGAGCUUGUAGGCGGUUUGUCGCGUCUGCUGUGAAAAUCCGGGGCUCAACCCCGGACUUGCAGUGGGUACGGGCAGACUAGAGUGUGGUAGGGGAGACUGGAAUUCCUGGU